ACUAACGCUGGCGGCGUGCCUAACACAUGCAAGUCGAACGGAGUGUUGUUUGUAGCAAUACGGGCAAUAUUUAGUGGCAAACGGGUGAGUAAUACGCAGACAACGUACCCCUCUGCUGGAAAUAACCAUUCGAAAGGGUGGUUAAUGUCGAAUAAUCUCACUGGGUGGCAUCAUCUGGUGAGUAAAGUAGCAAUGCGCGGAGGGAGCGGUUUGCGGCCUAUUAGCUAGUUGGUAGGGUAACGGCCUACCAAGGCUACGAUGGGUAGCCGGUCUGAGAGGAUGAACGGCCACACUGGCACUGAGACACGGGCCAGACUCCUACGGGAGGCAGCAGUGAGGGAUUUUGCGCAAUGGAGGAAACUCUGACGCAGCGACGCCGCGUGGGUGAUGAAGGUCUUCGGAUUGUAAAGCCCUGUCAGUGGGAACGAGUAAGGACGGUACCCGCUGAGGAAGCAUCGGCUAACUACGU
rnacentral:rRNA from 1 species